rfam:Streptomyces rubellomurinus strain ATCC 31215 contig-175, whole genome shotgun sequence.
CUUGAUCGAGCCGAGCCACAGCGGCUCGCCCUCGCGCUCGCGCCCGUACGUCGCGAGCAGUGCGUGCGCCUC